rnacentral:rRNA from 1 species
GACGAACGCUGGCGGCGUGCUUAACACAUGCAAGUCGGACGAGGCCCCUUCUUCGGGAGGGUGUUCUAGUGGCGAACGGGUGAGUAACACGUGGGCAACCUGCCCUCAGCUCUGGGAUAACUCCAAGGAAAUUGGGGCUAAUACCGGAUAUGACUGCUGACCGCAUGGUCUGGUGGUGGAAAGAUUUAUCGGCUGGGGAUGGGCCCGCGGCCUAUCAGCUUGUUGGUGGGGUAGUGGCCUACCAAGGCGACGACGGGUAGCCGGCCUGAGAGGGUGACCGGCCACACUGGGACUGAGACACGGCCCAGACUCCUACGGGAGGCAGCAGUGGGGAAUAUUGCGCAAUGGGCGGAAGCCUGACGCAGCGACGCCGCGUGGGGAUGACGGCCUC